UUACGGCCAUAUCACGUUGAAAUAUCGGUUCUCGUACGAUCACCAAAUUUAAGCAACGUCAAGCCUGGUCAGUACGUAGAUGGGUAACCGCUUGGGAAUACCAGAUGCU